AACGAACGCUGGCGGCAGGCCUAACACAUGCAAGUCGAGCGCCCAGCAAUGGGAGCGGCGGACGGGUGAAUAACACGUGGGAAUAUGCCUUUCGGUACGGAAUAACGCAGGGAAACUUGCGCUAAUACCGUAUACGCCCUCAGGGGGAAAGAUUUAUCGCCGAAAGAUUAGCCCGCGUAGGAUUAGCUAGUUGGUGAGGUAACGCCCACCAAGGCUACGAUCCUUAGCUGGUUUGAGAGAACGAUCAGCCACACUGGGACUGAGACACGGCCCAGACUCCUACGGGAGGCAGCAGUGGGGAAUCUUGGACAAUGGAGGAAACUCUGAUCCAGCCAUGCCGCGUGAGUGAUGAAGGCCUU
rnacentral:rRNA from 1 species